UACGUAGGGGCAAGCGUUGUCCGGAAUUAUUGGGCGUAAAGGGCGCGUAGGCGGUUUGUACAGUCAGGUGUGAAAUUCCCGGGCUCAACCUGGGGGCUGCACUUGAUACGUAUGGACUGGAGUGGGGAAGAGGGUCGUGGAAUUCCCAGUGUAGAGGUGAAAUUCGUAGAUAUUGGGAAGAACACCGGUGGCGAAGGCGGCGACCUGGUCCUUGACUGACGCUGAGGCGCGAAGGCGUGGGGAGCGAACGGG
rnacentral:rRNA from 1 species